rnacentral:lncRNA from 1 species
UGAAACCUGUUCAUGAGAGGAGUCAGGAAUGCCUUCCACCAAAGAAACGAGACCUCCCCACAACCAGCUGCUCCACUAACCACACACCCUCCAGUGAUGCCUCUGAAUGGUCCCCAGGGGUUGUGGUGGCUGGGCAGAGCCAGAGUCCGCCUCGGGGUGAUGGAGCUGUGGCCAUCACCGGUCUGACAGUGGACCAGUAUGGCAUGCUGUAUAAGGUGGCUGUGCCGCCUGCCACCUUCUCACCAACUGGACUCCCAUCUGUGUGAAUAUGAGCCCCUUGCCCCCA